rnacentral:rRNA from 1 species
AGUAACGCGUGAGGAACCUGCCUUUCAGAGGGGGACAACAGUUGGAAACGACUGCUAAUACCGCAUGACACAUCGGAGGGGCAUCCCUUUGAUGUCAAAGAUUUUAUCGCUGAAAGAUGGCCUCGCGUCUGAUUAGCUAGUUGGUGAGGUAACGGCCCACCAAGGCGACGAUCAGUAGCCGGACUGAGAGGUUGACCGGCCACAUUGGGACUGAGAUACGGCCCAG